rnacentral:rRNA from 1 species
UAGAGCCUACGGGGGGCAGCAGUGGGGAAUAUUGCGCAAUGGGGGAAACCCUGACGCAGCAACGCCGCGUGCGGGAUGAAGGCUUUCGGGUUGUAAACCGCUUUCAGCAGGGAAGAUAAUGACGGUACCUGCAGAAGAAGCCCCGGCUAACUACGUGCCAGCAGCCGCGGUAAUACGUAGGGGGCAAGCGUUAUCCGGAUUCAUUGGGCGUAAAGCGCGCGCAGGCGGGCCGCUAAGCGGGACCUCUACUCUUGGGGCUCAACCUCAAGCCGGGUCCCGCACUUGCG